GCCCGGGUGGUGGAAUGGUAGACACGCAGGACUUAAAAUCCUGUCUCAGCAAUGGGGUGAGGGUUCGAGUCCCUCCUCGGGCA
rnacentral:tRNA from 1 species